UAAACCUACAGGUUUAGUUAUAAUAAUAAAGGUAAAAAGUAGUUAGAGGUAGAUGUAGAUUGGUUUUUAUAGUUUUUUAUAUGUGGGUUAAAUUAAUAUAAGGAGUUAUAUUUUUGAGAACUUAAGUUGAAGCUAUUAAGAUUAGGAUUUAAACUAGGAUUAGGUACCCUAUUAUACUUAGUUUUGAUUUUGUUAUAUCGGGGUAUUACGAGUGAAUAUUGGAUGUUUAAAACUCAAAGGACUUGGCGGUGUUAAUUGGAUUAUUAGGGGAACUUGUUUCGUAAUCGAUAGUCCUCGCUAUACCUUACCUCUUUAAGUUGUUCAGCCUGUAUACCGUCGUUGUAAGUUAAUUUUUAAGAAUGUGAUAGUUAUCUAGGAAAGAAUAAUUUUAGAUGUCAGAUCAAGGUGCAGUUUAUGAAGGGUGUUGAUAAUGAGUUACAAUUAUAGAUUUAUAAAAUGGAGAUAUUAGUUAAAAUUUUUAUUGAAGGUGGACUUAAAAGUAAAUUGUUUUUAGAAAUGAUUUGAAUAUAUACUGAGAUGUGC
rnacentral:rRNA from 1 species